ensembl:lncRNA
GGUCUUUCUGCUUGGAAAUAAAACGGAUGCUGCGCAGAGAGAGACCCGGAGUGUGCCCAGGAUGGAAGGGGAAAGGCUGGCAAAGGAAUACAAGGCUGUCUUCUAUGAGUGCAGCGCAAUGACCGGAUAUAACAUCACAGAGCCCAUGUUGCACAUGGCCAGGUUGCUGACAGCACAAGAAGAUAGGCAGAGGGAGAAUGCCCUUCAGCUGGAAGAUGUCAGCAGGAGGAAAGGGUGCUGCGCAUAAGGCACAUCAGUGUGUCAGCAAGAGACGUGCCAACGCUGUUUCAUGAAGCUGGGGUUCCUUUCAAGCAAGCCAAAUCGCAUGAUAUCAGCUCUGCAGAGACUUGGGGAAGCUGCAGCUUUUCCCCAUCUGGGAAUUUCAAGGCACUAAAUCAGGCCAAAAUGUGUGCAUGAUCUGCACUGUUCCAUUUCCCAGCUCUGCAUGAAGCCCUGCUCUCUGGAGGCCCCUGCUUCUUUGAGGGAAUUCAGCUGGUCUUGGCUUAUAGCACAAACUGGGCCUUCUGUCUGGAGAGGCCACUUUCCUGUAAAAGGAUGGUAUCUUACUCCUUUUCUUUCUGGCAAAGAAAUGACCUUUGGUCAUUUGUGGUCCUUGGACCACAUGGUUUAGGGCAAGGUGUCCCUGCCCAUGGCAGGGGGGUUGGAACUAGAUGAUCUUAAGGUCCUUUCCAACCCUUACUAUUCUAUGAUUCUAUUCUAUGAUUCUAUGACCUAGUGGCGAAGAGUGGAAGACACAGUGGGUGCUAUGUUAAAUAGAAUUUUAGUGUAAGAGUAAAGAAAUUACUUUAAAUUUGGGCUAGCUCUAGGUAGUGAUCCGUCAUCUCACAGAGCAUCUCCUCUUGGUCCUCUAACAGCAGAGCCCAGCUGAAAGCCUGCUGUGGUAAGUGGGAGAACCUCCAUCUGCUCCUGUAAGAGCUGGAUCAGCCACUGUAUUUACUGCAAAAUUUGGUUUGACUGGCCAAUAUUGUAGUUAACUGAUUCCAUAUGUGGGUAUAGUAUGAACUGAUAAGUGAGUCAUCCCAAAGGCUUUCUUCACUUUGUUAUCCUAACGGAAUGUUACUGCCCCUCUCUUACUGUUUACAGAACACAGAGCAGUUGCCCUGGGACUCGCAGGCGCUGGCACAUGUUGCUGAUUCAUAACCUGUUGCAGGAGCUGUGCUGUACAUACUGGGGAGGGGUCAUAUACAGCCUGUUUUAAGGCUUAAAGCUGCCAGUUUCCUCCCAUUCUCUUAUAAUUUCCUGAAGAAACCUCCAGCAAUUAGGAACUGACUUAUCUGUGGUACUGCAAGAUCCCACCCUUGACCACAGUGCUUUCAACUGUAUCUGGGUUGGAAGCACAAGGCAGUUAGCUGCCUGUGUGAAAUGUAUCUAGUGAAGCUUUUUCUCUUGUAGCGACCUUGUGCAAUAACCUCACUUUCCUGCUGAAGUGCCUGAGAAAGAGCAGGACAACCUGUUCCCGUUGGGAAGGGCCCCACUAAGGAGUGGGGCAAAGCACCGUGAGGGGAGGUGCAGGCUGAGGUAGGAACUGGCCCCAAAUGUGCACCUCUGGGCAUAGCCGCUGCGUUGCCUGGGCAUGAAGCCCCUGGUGUUCUCUGGGUGUGCUGCUUUCUGUUCUGUAGUUCAGUUGCUCUUAAAGCCUUGUGGGAUUAAGUGAGCUUUGUUGUAAUGCCCUCUUGCCUUUCUUCUUUGAGCCUGUUUCUGACUGUGACUUUGACAUUUUAGGUGCAAGAUGUGAUAGUGCAGCUGUCACGCAGUCCCCCAACCUUGCAGCAUAAGGAAGGCCUAUAUUUAUCCACUGUCUUUCCUCUCUUGGGAUAAAGUGAUUACUUUGAAUGUUUGUUUAUUGCACAGAUUUCUCUGGAAAUAUCCCAUGCAGGAAAAGUACUCUGAGUCACCUACAGCUCAUCAGUGCUACAAAGAAUUUCCAUGGUUCCUCCCAGCCCCCAUUAUUCCUGAUAGGAAAGAGGAAGUCCUUCUCCAGAAGAGCAGGACUCCUGACUAAAAGGAAUAGCUAAAAGUAAUAGGCCCCUGCUCAGCCCUUACUGCCAGCUGGCUGUGUUUCAUGCUGUGUUUAACUACAGUAAUGCCUUUCAGAGACUGAGAAUCAGAAAGGUAGAAGAGGUCCAGAAGGAACCAGGGUAACUGUGCUGCGAGUGGAAUUGCUUCUAUUUGCAAGAAAUGAUGUUUGGGAAGGGAAGUCCUCUCUGUUUUCAGAAAACACCUGUAAUCUGAAAGUAGACAUGACUUUCUGGCUCUCUAGCCAACGUGCGUGUAAAGGAACACAGCCAUUAUCACCUGCUGAAUAGGUUAAACCCACUAGCUGAGUUGGAGGAGCUGCUGUCAAUGAUUCCUCUGCAUCAUGCUCCAGUUGCAGGUUAAUAAGGAGUGGUACUAACUAAGAAAUGGCAUCUUUGGUCAGGGCACAUCAGUAAUGCUAACAUUUAUCUACCCGCAGCAGGAGGAUUUGGGAAGUUGCUGCAGAAGGAAGAGAGCAGUACCCAGCCUGUUAACGUGGUCUGAACACACACCUCCCACACUACAUACAGAAGCACAUGGAAGACAAAGGUGUGAAAUACAGCUGACACACAAAUAUGGGCCAGUCUAUAUAUUACCUUUGUCAUCAGUACUGUCAUAUUGCAUUGGCAAGAAUGAUCACAUGGGGUUUUUAUAAUGUACAACCUUAAGCAUGUUUUCUUAGUGUGCAAGCAGAGUACGGGCAAUAAAGAAAUGCUGUCUUAU